AUACCAUGGUGUGUGCAUUGUCUUUGCAAAUCCUUGUAUCUCUACCAUACCUCAUAGAGAGACUCCAAUUCAUGUUGUUGAAAACCACACAUCUCAUUUCUGAAUUU
rfam:Beta vulgaris subsp. vulgaris Bvchr3.sca005.con0081.1, whole genome shotgun sequence.